GAUGAACGCUGGCGGCGUGCCUAAUACAUGCAAGUCGAGCGAACAGACGAGGAGCUUGCUCCUCUGACGUUAGCGGCGGACGGGGGAGUAACACGUGGAUAACCUACCUAUAAGACUGGGAUAACUUCGGGAAACCGGAGCUAAUACCGGGUAAUAUAUUGAACCGCAUGGUUCAAUAGUGAAAGACGGUUUUGCUGUCACUUAUAGAUGGAUCCGCGCCGCAUUAGCUAGUUGGUAAGGUAACGGCUUACCAAGGCAACGAUGCGUAGCCGACCUGAGAGGGUGAUCGGCCACACUGGAACUGAGACACGGUCCAGACUCCUACGGGAGGCAGCAGUAGGGAAUCUUCCGCAAUGGGCGAAAGCCUGACGGAGCAACGCCGCGUGAGUGAUGAAGGUCUUCGGAUCGUAAAACUCUGUUAUUAGGGAAGAACAAAUGUGUAAGUAACUAUGCACGUCUUGACGGUACCUAAUCAGAAAGCCACGGCUAACUACGUG
rnacentral:rRNA from 1 species